GGUUGUAAACCGCUUUUGUCAGGGAAGAAACGCGCCGGGCUAAUACCUCGGCGUAAUGACGGUACCUGAAGAAUAAGCACCGGCUAACUACGUGCCAGCAGCCGCGGUAAUACGUAGGGUGCAAGCGUUAAUCGGAAUUACUGGGCGUAAAGCGUGCGCAGGCGGCCAUGCAAGACAGAUGUGAAAUCCCCGGGCUUAACCUGGGAACUGCAUUUGUGACUGCAUGGCUGGAGUGCGGCAGAGGGGGAUGGAAUUCCGCGUGUAGCAGUGAAAUGCGUAGAUAUGCGGAGGAACACCGAUGGCGAAGGCAAUCCCCUGGGCCUGCACUGACGCUCAUGCACGAAAGCGUGGGGAGCAAACAGGAUUAGAUACCCUGGUAGUCCACGCCCUAAACGAUGUCAACUGGUUGUUGGACGGCUUGCUGUUCACUAACCAAGCUAACGCGUGAAGUUGACCGCCUGGGGAGUACGGCCGCAAGGUUGAAACUCGAAGGAAUUGACGGGGACCCGCACAAGCGGUGGAUGAUGUGGUUUAAUUCGAUGCAACGCGAAAAACCUUACCUACCCUUGACAUGCCAAGAACGCCGCAUAAAUGCAGCGGUGCCCGAAAUGGAACGUGGACACAAGUGCUGCAUGGCUGUCGUCAUCUCCUGUCGUGAGAUGUUGGGUUAAGUCCCGCAACGAGC
rnacentral:rRNA from 1 species